rnacentral:rRNA from 1 species
UACGUAGGGUGCAAGCGUUAAUCGGAAUUACUGGGCGUAAAGCGUGCGCAGGCGGUUAUAUAAGACAGGUGUGAAAUCCCCGGGCUUAACCUGGGAAUUGCAUUUGUGACUGUAUAGCUGGAGUGCGGCAGAGGGGGAUGGAAUUCCGCGUGUAGCAGUGAAAUGCGUAGAUAUGCGGAGGAACACCGAUGGCGAAGGCAAUCCCCUGGGCCUGCACUGACGCUCAUGCACGAAAGCGUGGGGAGCAAACAGG